rnacentral:rRNA from 1 species
UGGGGAAUAUUGCACAAUGGGCGCAAGCCUGAUGCAGCCAUGCCGCGUGUGUGAAGAAGGCCUUCGGGUUGUAAAGCACUUUCAGCGAGGAGGAAGGUGGUGAGCUUAAUACGCUCAUCAAUUGACGUUACUCGCAGAAGAAGCACCGGCUAACUCCGUGCCAGCAGCCGCGGUAAUACGGAGGGUGCAAGCGUUAAUCGGAAUUACUGGGCGUAAAGCGCACGCAGGCGGUUUGUUAAGUCAGAUGUGAAAUCCCCGGGCUCAACCUGGGAACUGCAUUUGAAACUGGCAAGCUAGAGUCUCGUAGAGGGGGGUAGAAUUCCAGGUGUAGCGGUGAAAUGCGUAGAGAUCUGGAGGAAUACCGGUGGCGAAGGCGGCCCCCUGGACGAAGACUGACGCUCAGGUGCGAAAGCGUGGGGAGCAAAACAGGAUUAGAUACCCUGGUAGUCCACGCUGUAAAACGAUGUCGAUUUUGGAGGUUGUGCCCUUGAGGCGUGGCUUCCGGAGCUAACGCGUUAAAUCGACCGCCUGGGGGAGUACGG